rnacentral:rRNA from 1 species
UUUUUGGGGAAUAAUUAAAAGUCUAAUCUGCCCACUGAUAUAUUAUUAAAGGGCUGCAGUAUUUUGACUGUACAAAGGUAGCAUAAUCAUUAGUCUCUUAAUUGGUGACUUGUAUGAAAGAUUGGAUGAAAUAUAAACUGUCUCUAAUUAAUUUAUAGAAUUUAAUUUUUUAGUUAAAAAGCUAAAAUAUAUUUAAAAGACGAGAAGACCCUAUAGAGUUUAAUAUAAAAUUUUAUUAUUAUUUAUAUAUAAAUUUUUAAAUUAAGAUAAAAUUUAAUAUUUUAUUGGGGUGAUAAAAAAAUUAAAUUAACUUUUUUUAAAAAUAGACAUUAAUUUAUGAAUAAUUGAUCCAUUUUUAGUGAUUAAAAGAAAAAAUUACCUUAGGGAUAACAGCGUAAUUUUUUUUUUUAGUUCAAAUAGGAAAAAAAGUUUGCGACCUCGAUGUUGGAUUAAGAUAAAAUUUAAAUGCAAAAGUUUAAAAUUUUGAUCUGUUCGAUCAUUAAAAUCUUACA